UUUACAGUCGUUCGCUGUCCUCGUCGCUCAUUGUGGCGUAAGUAGUGCCAUUAGAAAAAAAGAGAAUAGUUUGUAAUAAGUAUCGCGGCCCUUAUAACUUAUUCAUUUCUCAUCAGCGUUAUUGCGUUAAGCUCCGUGGCUUGCUCGUUUUGCACGCGAUGAAAUGAUGUCGUUCCCCGUUGUUGAUUCUCCCCCACUCUCCCUUUGUCCGUUCGCAAGAUGACACUCGCAUCUUCCGCGACGAGAGUCCGUCCGUCGACCAGGUGGACCAGCGUUCGCGCGGCCGUUGACACGAUCGCGAGGUGCGACGUACAAUAUCCUCUCGGAUCCGCGCGAGCGGAUUCCCCCUCGGGGGUGGCGCGAGAGGGAAGGAGGGCGGGUGCGCGAGAUCCGCUUUUUCCAUCGAUCCCGAUUACCCAAUGAUCGAGAGGCACGUAAUAAUCGCCGGAAAUUGUAUCAUAGUCGGGCUCUGUGGAUUAUUUCAAGAUUAACGAUGAAAGGUCAGAUACGAUUUACUUUUGCACAAUGCAGUUUCGAGCUGAUAUAGAAGGAAUGCGUAUCUAGAAAAUCUUAUCUUCGAAUUUGAUGACUCGUCAGUUUUAAUCUUAACAGUUUUAUGCCUGCUGCAGAAUGACUUCAUUGGCGUCUGCUUCGUAUAAGUGUUUCAAGAACAAGGAAACGACGAGGUUAUGACGAGGAAAGCUCGGGGACGAUUGGUUUUCGCGUAAUACAAGGUUUCAGAUACUGCUCAAGAAACGCGGCGUGUUUGAUAAUAAUGAUUUAAUUUCAAUGUCCGCGGAAAAUAAUUGGUUCGUUCUUGUUAGUUGAACUUGUUGCAAGCCUCGUCUUUUCUCUUUUCCUUUCUUUUUGACCUACGACGGAGAGAGAAACAGAUGAAUCAUUGGAAUUUGCUAUAAAGAAAUACGAGCUUAUUUAAGGGAGUUUCUCUGCUCAGCGCCUGGUACAACAAGUGGCACAGGGUUUCGAGUAAAAAAAAAUAUUCAAACUAUUUUGUUGAAUGUCAAAUGUCUUUUUUUUGCUGCAUAUGGUUUAAAGUUAAUAAUGGUGAAUAUAAGAAAAAAAUCAGCUAUAAUGUACUACAUUCAUUACUGAAAUAAUUUUUUUUUAAAUUGAGAAUAAACAUUUUUCACUAUUAUACCACCCUUACAUAAUUACAUACAACAAUUUGACAUUCAUGUUAUAUCACUAGCACACGUUUACCACACUUACGUGCUGUAUUACUUCGAUUAUUGUAAAUCUUUUCUGUCUUAUCAAUUAUUUUACUCAAACGACAAUUGCAUCAUUUUGAAAAUUUAACGGUACUUUUCUGAACAGCUAAGAUGUAUUAACAUAAAGUUUCACUAGCAUCUGUUUAUUACUUCUAUGUUAAACGACGGCAAUAAAUACGACAAUAAAAACUGAAAAAUCCUGAAAAUUCAUCGAUUCCCAUAAAAGCCCAUGUUAAUAAAAUAUUUAAUAUCUAAAUAACUAGUUAGUUCACUUUUCUAAAAGUGUGACAGUCAAUUUAUAUCACUAAUUUGAACUUCACUACAAAGUUUUAUGAAAAUCUGUUCAUUUUGAUUUAGCAGUGGAAUUCCCUUAAGUGAGUUCAACGCUCGUGUUCGGCGAGUUACAUAAAUCUUCUAAAAUAUACAGUGACGAAAAUAAGGAAAGGGACCGUUAUUCCACAAGAUCGAGUUUCUCGAUCUCGAUAUAUCGCGGUGAACGCUCCCGUUGGCGCUCCCCGGUGCCCGCGAAGGGUCCUGAGAACAAAGCGUUACGAUAACCACCGCCGAAGAGAUUUGAAGCCGGCUGGCGGACCGCGGAGUCCGCGUGUGUAUGUGUGUAUUUCCUGAAUGAAAAUCCAUAACCGGACGGGCGACGCAACGCUAUCUCCUUUCAUUCCGGCCAGCACACUUUCAAUUUCGUUUUCUGCAAAAGGUUCCCGGUCGCAACUCGCUGCGCACGGCCAGGGCCUGUGGUGUGCGGGAAAGGUUCUCUCCCGGGUUCCGUGGGGGUUUUACAUCCCACUCUUUCACCGCAUUCACCGCCAUCUGUAAAGGUCGAUCGAGACUGGAGAAUGGGACCAGGACUACCCCCGCCGCCGCCGGUUCUCCAAGUUGAAAAGGAAUAGUAGUGAGAGUCCAAGAGACAGCGGAAGCAAGGGGGUAGGAAUGGGUUUCACGAACGGCUGUCGCGGUUCUUGAGUGGGCUCGCUCGCUCGUCCGUACGUUUGCGCGCGCGUUCGCGCGCGCGGCCACUUUAAUGUGAAAGUAAGUCUUACAGUUGACCGAAAACUGCGUGCCCGUCGUCGUGUUCUCGUCGACUAUUUGCGGCCGACGUGCCAUGCCGUAGCGCGCGCGCUGUUCCGUCCGAUCGUGCGAUGUACACACCCUUAACGUACAGCUUUAAUCGACCGGUACCGCGGUCAGCGCGCUGUAAAAGAAAGAACAAAGGGACGAGAGAGAGAGAGAGAGAGAGAGAGAGAGAGAGAGAGAGAGAGAGAGAGAGAGAGAGAGAGAGAGAGAAAGAAAGUAAAGAAGAAAAUUGAAAAGAAAAAGGGGAGAUCCGCUCUCUGAUCACAUCGCUAAUUAAUUCUCAUAUCGACGCGCGAGUUGACUCAUCGACGUACUCUACACGACUUUCUAUACACUUGUCCUACGACGCUUUUUCGUCGUAAUCAAUCUUCUCGACCGUGUCAGCUGUUCCACACGUUGCGUCCGCACUUCUGAAGGAUUCGAUCUAAAAGACGACGCAUGAGAGUGGUGACGUUAUAGCAUCGAGGCCAUAACAGUAAGCAAGGAAAAAGAGGGAAAGGGAGAAAAAGCGAGGGAUACGUGAAGAUUUCGCGCAGAGAACUGGGCAUCCCUUUUCAAUCGUACAGCGAAUUAUAAAAGUUGGCGACGGUGAAAAAAGGUGAAGCGAAGCCGUUCCGAUUAAAUUCAAUUACAUUUCCUUCUUCGCAGCAGCGCAAACAGUGUUUCACGUGGCAUUUCCGCAUUCUUGUUAUAGUUUUCCGCUUUUGAAAGAGCAGCGGACGGAAGUGCGCGCGAACAUCGAAAUUAUCUUUUCGUCCCGAGCUCAAGAAUUCCAUUUAAAGAUACGGAAAGGUGUGACUGGUGUGACGUAACAAAACGUAACAAUAAAUUUUUCCCGUAUUACUUUCGAGGCUGAAAAUUGGCUGGCGAGACGCGCGUUAACAUUUUCAACGGAUAUGCUCGCCAUGACGCGUCCGUGCGGAAAAGUUUAAAUGUUUCGCGCACGCAUAAGUAUACGCGCGGGGUCCUUGUCCUUGAAGUAAUGCGUGGACGGGUGAAUCUCGCUGCGUAGACGUGUGAUCCCUGUCAUUCAGACGAAUCCUCGCGACACUAUGUAACAAAUUGAUCGGAGUGCACGUGCAACGUAUAGCGCGGAUCGGAAGUUAAAUGUAUAUCCACGAUUCGAAGAGGCUGAACAGAAUGCACGAAAGGAAGGAAGGAAGGAAGGAAGGUCAGAAGCGCACGUCCGCUUUUUGCCGGCCUUCCUGACAUCGGGAGGACUCGAUUGUGAAGUUUCGAACGAAGUUUUCCCUACGUGUACCUGUUCCACGUGUAGCUAUGCGUCUACGCCUUCAAACGUAGUUGAGUCAAUCCGAGGCUCUUUUUUUUAACUGACAAUUCGCAAGAUAUUAAUUAUGAAACGGACGGUGUUCGUUAUCGCGUGCGUUUUGGGCUUCGUCUUAGCGGGAAGUCUUAGGCUACCUCGAACAUCCGCCGAUCAGCGUGGCACGCGUAGCGCAAGUCAUAACAGCACCGGCGGAACAACGCUGCAGAAGUUCACUUUACUCCUCUCGCAAUCUGCAGCAAAAUAGACUGGGAAUCUUAAGCAAGUGACAAGUAAUAUGAAUCCAAAGCUUCAUUCAGUUCCACAUGAGUCUAAUGUCGGAUAAUCUUGGAGCGGUAUACAAUUAGUGACGUGCAUGAGGCUAUUGUCGGGAGAAAUUACGAGAACAAUCGGCAUAAUCGCCUCAAUGUAACCACAACCGAGGCCCCGACGAAACAAAGUAAAAUCGAUCGUCUUGUCGAACAAAUGUAUCCGAUGCUUACCGUCUCUGAAAAGAUGGACCAAGUUUGGAAUGUAGUGAUGGGGACGAAAAGCUCAGUGGACGACCUAUUGUCAAAAUCCGACGAAUUACUUACUCAGGCUCAGAGGCAGGAGAGAGCGAUCAGCGGGAUUUACGCCGAUCUAAGAUCCAAAACAAAUAAGAUCAUCGAAAAUCUUGAGGGGCGUCGAAAGCCGCUUGAGGCAGCAAGAGGACGAUGUGGCCACUCUCGCGCAACGCUCGAUUCCGGCUGAAUUGUUACUGGAUCCGACAAUCGAUCGACUCGUUGAAUAUGAUCCAAGCAGAGAACAUUAAAGGGAAUGCUGGAUCGAGUGAUGGUCACAUUUGAUCGGGGUCGAUAAAGUAGAAUAAUUGGCGAAGCUGGAGAGAUCGAACUCCUCAAGUCCUGCGCGGCCAAUUACAAAACUAAAAAUAAAAUCGUGAAUGUCGAUAAUGUCAACAUUAAUGAUUUUUAUGUUACAUGUAAUAUAUUUCUAUUUUUUUGCAUUACCAUUUGCGGUACUUCAUAUAACAUAUGAAUUAGAAAUACAUAUAAAAAGGUGUCCUAUUCCAAAUGAUCUAUGCGUACAUCAUUUGGUACUAUCAUGCAAUGUAGUAGCCACUUUUCCUUACGUCCAAUACCAUUUUAGGUCAGGACGUAUUGACAACACAUUGCACAUACAUUGCACAUAUUUUUUAAAUCUCUUUUUGUGCUACGCCUAAUAAAAGAGAUAAAAAUUAUUCUUAGCUUAGCUUGUAUUAAAAUAUAAAUUAGUACAUAUACUGUUUAUUUGAAAAAAAAUUCUGUAUAUUGCUCUAAUCAAAUGCAGUCCAAGGAUAUAAUUACAUUUGUAUGCAAUAUUAGAAUUUCAAUUAUGUGUAUUAUAAUGUAUUCAUGUACACCUAAGCGCACGCACAUUAUAAUACAUAUUGUAAUUAUACACUUAUGGACUUAUAACGUUUAAAAUUGUUUUUUUUCACAACAAAUGCUUUUAAUAUUUUGUUGUAAUUAUAAUCAACUUAUGCCUUCGGUAGUAAAUUAAAAAUACCAAGCCUAUGGCAAUCACUUCUGGUAUUCUUUUUUGUAAAUAGCCAGCUCAUGAUUUAUGCCUCUGGCAACAAGUUAAAAAUUAGCUUAUGACAAUUGCUUCUAACACUUUCUUGUACAUGGGUAGCUCACGACAAACGCCUCUGGCAUUUUUAAAAAAUUAAUCAGUUCACGAUUUACGCCUCUGAAUUUUUUAAAAACUAUCCAGCUCACAAUAAACAAAUUUUAUAUGUAAUCACGUUGCAAUAAUUUUAUAUGCUUAUCCUUUUUUACGAAUACAGAUUAGGAAUAAUAUAACGUGCAACUAAACAAUUUAUUAUACAAUUACUAGAACAUUACAAGCGCCCGCGCUAUUUAACUCUUUAUUUUAUGAAAAUAAAUUGCAUUAAUAAUUAUAUACAUAACGAUUUAUACAAAUUAGAGAAAAAAUAGACUUAUGCAAUUAUAUAUGAUCAUAUAUAUAAUUGGCCAUAUAUAUUAUAAUAUAAUAAGAUCCGAAAAAUGGGAUAUGAUCUUAUAUAACCAUGUACUAUUAUAUGUAUUCAAAUAUAAUAUGAUUAGCAAAAAUAAUAAGAUAAACAAGUCAAUAUAUUGAGCUAAUACCAAUUUUCCUAAUACAAUAUAAUUUAUUAAAUUAAAAUAUAUAAUUAUAAACGCUAUUAAAACAACUGUGUUAAAAAAUGUUAAACAAAUUUCAAAACGUUUCGACUAUACAUAGUCCUCUUCAGUCGUGCCAAAUUGCCAAUUUAUAAACAUGAGUAAAAUAACGCAAACGAAAAUAUAAUUUAAGCAGUUAAAAAAUGAUGAGAAUUGAAUAAGCAUAAAAACAAUGCAUAGUCUAUAAAAAUGUGUCAUAAUAAUUAAAACGUAAACGAAUAAAUAAUAUAAUCAAAAAAUAAUAAAAUUUUUUUUAGUAAUUAUGUAGUCAGAAAAUACAGUCAAAAAUCUUGUCG